rnacentral:rRNA from 1 species
GGAAUUUUGGGCAAUGGGCGAAAGCCUGACCCAGCUACGCCGCGUGAGGGAUGAAGGCCUUCGGGUCGUAAACCUCUGUCGGGAGGGACGACAGAUCUGCGGGUGAACAAUCCGCGGAAGUGCCGGUACCUCCACAGGAAGCGCCGGCUAACUCCCUGCCAGCCGCCGCGGUAAUACGGAGGGCGCAAGCGUUGUUCGGAAUUACUGGGCGUAAAGCGCGUGUAGGCGGCCAGGUAAGUCGGGUGUGAAAUCCCGGGGCCCAACCCCGGAACUGCACUCGAAACUGCCUGGCUGGAGUCCCGGAGAGGAAGGCGGAAUUCCCGGUGUAGAGGUGAAAUUCGUAGAUAUCGGGAGGAACACCAGCGGCGAAGGCGGCCUUCUGGACGGUGACUGACGCUGAGACGCGAAAGCGUGGGGAGCAAAC